rnacentral:tmRNA from 1 species
ACCCCUUCCAAUUUCCCCCCAAGCGCCUAUAUCACCCCUGCCGGUUUCGACCGGCUAUGGUGAUAAAGUGUACCGUACAAUAGGCGCAGCGGACCCGGGGGCAGUACCCGGCGGCUCCACCACCACCACGCUCCGUA